rfam:Caprimulgus carolinensis contig21077, whole genome shotgun sequence.
AGUAUUUAUAUAUCCGGAGAAAGUUCUCUAGUAAAUUCUGGAGAUCUUCGGUAUUUAAAUGUCAACAUCGAUUUGUUUAUUUAUUGCUUAGCUUAUCGUAACUGACUCAAUAACAAAUCUAAUAAUGUUGUGCACAGAGAAAAUAUUCUCAUUAUAUAUUUUUCCCUAC